rnacentral:lncRNA from 1 species
UUUUCCUUUAUUUCCAAUAGGUAAAUGGAGGUGCUCGAACCAGCUUAUUUCUAAUGGUUAAAAGAGAGCACUAGGACAUGUUAUUUUUCAGCAGGUGAAGCCAGGUACCAUAAACUGAUUAUUUCCUAUGGGUAAAAGGAAGUGCGGAAACAGCUUGUUUCCAGCGGGUAAUAGGGAGUGCUGGAAAAGGCUUAUUUCCAAUGGAUAAAGCUAGUAUUUGGAAAAUGACUAUUUCCUAUAGGUAAAAGAAAGUGCUUGGAAAAUAUCUCAUUUGCUCACCCAUAUUGGAGAACUCUAAGUAGUGGGCUUGGACUUUGGUCCUCCCAAGUAGCUAGCUCAAAGUCUCCAUUAUCCAAGAGCUUCCGUGGGCCUUGUGGACCUCCGUAACCUUCCACACCACAAUUCCUCGUGCAAGCCCCGUAAACCGCAUGACUUGAGUUCAUGUGAGCUUGAUAGGUGAUUGACAUAGAAAAAAUGUAUUAUUGAUUUGGCAUGACAUGUAACACUAUUUAUAUAUUUAUUUAAUAAAUUAAUUUCUAAAAUACAGCUUGAAUUAACACAUGACAAACAUUAUAUUAUAUUCGGCUUUGAAUGUCUUUGAGCUUCCCGUGACUUGUUUGGGCCUCAACACAAUCCAUCACUUAUGUCUAAUUCCGUUAAAGUUUCUGUUAAAUUUAAGGGCAUUUUUGUCAAUUCACUAUAACUAAAAAUAAUUAUAACCCAAAAAAAAAAAAACAGAAUUUAAAAAAUAUAAAAGUUAACCUGAUUACACCAUAGCUUCCACACAAAAAAAGUUAACCUAAUUACACUCACCAACCCAUCCAUGAAUGAGCAUGCUAUGGCCAGUGGCGGAUCCCGG